GCAGAGUAGGAACACGCGUGCGUUGCCCUUCGGGGCCAGUGCCGGCGGGACGGGGAGUUGUCCGCCGGACGAACAGCGUAUAUGCGGCAGUGCGUGUUCCGCAUCCCGCUGC
rnacentral:ncRNA from 1 species